GUGCGUAGGCUUGAGAGUUAGGUAAAUCCGGCUCUCUAUAAGGCUGAGACACGAUGUCGAGCAUCUACGGAUGUGAAGUCAUUGAUGCCAUGCUUCCAGGAAAAGCCUCUAAGCUUCAGAUUGUAAGGAAUCGUACCCCAAACCGACACAGGUGGUCGGGUAGAGAAUACCAAGGCGCUUGAGAGAACUCGGGUGAAGGAACUAGGCAAAAUGGUACCGUAACUUCGGGAGAAGGUACGCUCUUGACGGUGAAGUCCCUCGCGGAUGGAGCUAUUGAGAGUCGCAGAUACCAGGUGGCUGCAACUGUUUAUUAAAAACACAGCACUGUGCAAAAUCGUAAGAUGACGUAUACGGUGUGACGCCUGCCCGGUGCCGGAAGGUUAAUUGAUGGGGUUAGACUUCGGUCGAAGCUCUUGAUCGAAGCCCCGGUAAACGGCGGCCGUAACUAUAACGGUCCUAAGGUAGCGAAAUUCCUUGUCGGGUAAGUUCCGACCUGCACGAAUGGCGUAAUGAUGGCCACGCUGUCUCCACCCGAGACUCAGUGAAAUUGAAAUCGCUGUGAAGAUGCAGUGUACCCGCGGCUAGACGGAAAGACCCCGUGAACCUUUACUACAGCUUGGCACUGAACAUUGACCCUACAUGUGUAGGAUAGGUGGGAGGCUUUGAAACCGGUACGCCAGUAUCGGUGGAGCCGACCUUGAAAUACCACCCUUGUAGUGUUGAUGUUCUAACUUAGCCCCAUUAUCUGGGGUGAGGACAGUGCCUGGUGGGUAGUUUGACUGGGGCGGUCUCCUCCCAAAGAGUAACGGAGGAGCACGAAGGUGGGCUAAACACGGUUGGACAUCGUGUGGUUAGUGCAAUGGCAUAAGCCCGCUUGACUGCGAGAAUGACAAUUCGAGCAGGUGCGAAAGCAGGUCAUAGUGAUCCGGUGGUUCUGAAUGGAAGGGCCAUCGCUCAACGGAUAAAAGGUACUCCGGGGAUAACAGGCUGAUACCGCCCAAGAGUUCAUAUCGACGGCGGUGUUUGGCACCUCGAUGUCGGCUCAUCACAUCCUGGGGCUGAAGUCGGUCCCAAGGGUAUGGCUGUUCGCCAUUUAAAGUGGUACGCGAGCUGGGUUUAGAACGUCGUGAGACAGUUCGGUCCCUAUCUGCCGUGGGCGUUGGAAGAUUGAAGGGGGCUGCUCCUAGUACGAGAGGACCGGAGUGGACGAACCUCUGGUGUUCGGGUUGUGUCGCCAGACGCAUUGCCCGGUAGCUAAGUUCGGAAUCGAUAACCGCUGAAAGCAUCUAAGCGGGAAGCGAGCCCUGAGAUGAGUCUUCCCUGACCCCUUGAGGGUCCUAAAGGGUUGUUCGAGACUAGAACGUUGAUAGGCAGGGUGUGU
rnacentral:ncRNA from 1 species